CACGUAGGGCGCAAGCGUUGUCCGGAAUUAUUGGGCGUAAAGAGCUCGUAGGCGGCCUGUUGCGUCCGCUGUGAAAGCCCGGGGCUUAACCCCGGGUCUGCAGUGGAUACGGGCAGGCUAGAGGUAGGUAGGGGAGAAUGGAAUUCCCGGUGUAGCGGUGAAAUGCGUAGAUAUCUGGAGGAACACCGGUGGCGAAGGCGGCAUCCUGGACCAAUUCUGACACUGAGGAGCGAAAGCCAGGGGAGCAAACGGG
rnacentral:rRNA from 1 species